GUGCUCGCCUCUACAGCACAUAUGCUAAAAUUGGAAUGACACAGAGAAGAUUAGCAUGGCCCCUGUGCAAUGAUGACACACAAAUUUGUGAUGCGUUCCAUAUUUGA
rnacentral:snRNA from 1 species